rnacentral:rRNA from 1 species
UACGGGGGGAGCAAGCGUUGUUCGGAUUUACUGGGCGGACAGGGCGCGUAGGCGGCGCAACAAGUCACUUGUGAAAUCUCCGGGCUUAACCCGGAGCGGCCAAGUGAUACUGUCGUGCUAGAGUGCGGAAGGGGCUACUGGAAUUCUCGGUGUAGCGGUGAAAUGCGUAGAUAUCGAGAGGAACACCUGCGGCGAAGGCGGGUAGCUGGGCCGACACUGACGCUGAGGCGCGAAAGCCAGGGGAGCGAACGGG